AUAAAUAAAUAAAUAUCUAGAUAUUUAGUCCCUUAGCCAUUAAGCUACCUAUAUUAUAUAAAUUGAGAGUUGGUCCCAAUCCACACCCACGUUUUUCAUCAGCUCAAGGAGAGGGUGAGAGAGGGAGAGUUUGCUCAAGGGAAGUCAAGGGGAGUAGAGAAGUGAGAAGAAAAAAAAAAAAAAAGACUUCUUGAAGGGUGUAAGCAAGCCCGAGGCACGAUUUGGGUGUAAGCGAGCCCACUUGUUGGCCGUCCCUUUUGAGGUCCAUCAAUGCCACUGACAGGUAAAUAAUCGGAAGGUGGGCAUAGGUGGUAAGGUCUGCAAAGCAGCAAAAGGGGGAGUUCUGAAUAGUCUGGUGUUCAAUCCUUGUGGUUUGGUGGAAGGAUCUCUUUGGGGGGUCCUAAAUGCCUAGUCUAACUACUGAUUUAUAAAACCUUAAUGUAAGUAUGUUAUGUUACUUGAUUUGUUUUGUGUAUGAUUGAUUGAUAGAAGAUAUGGGGGUGUGUGUGUUUUUACUGAGCAUUCCAAGCUCAUGGCGUGUCAUGCCAGGUGAAGAAGUAGCUUACGACGGGAAAGGUUAUCCCGAAGACAAUCAAGAUGAAGUUUUAGAGCCGUGGUUCACUUGAAAAUUAGACUAGUAGUUGUUUUUGUGUCCUCUCUUCUUUUACCUUUUGGUUUGACAAUAUUUGUAAACCUCUAGUGGAACUCAAAUCAGUUAUCCAUGUUAUAACUCCGCUUGUAUGUGUAUAUUAACGUAUUGCGGUUAUCUA